GGUCUGAAAUGCUACACAUCUUCCCCUCUUAAGGCUGUUCCUGACAAAGCAAACCAUAUUUAUUUAGGUGUGUAAUAGUGGUUUACAGGUCUGGGUUUGGCAUCAAAAGAAGAAAACUGUGCCUUCAGUACUUCCAGCUGAGAAACUGAGGCUUCAAUGUGUCUGAAAGUCACUGGUUAUAGCAAAAGGAAGUUCAGAUAAAGAGAAGAAAAUAGCCAAACGGGCAGACAGCUUAAAAUAUAAGAUGAUCUCAUCUGGCUCUUACAUGACCCCUGACCGCAUAACAGGCUUUUACACUCACUUGAAAAGCUGAUUGUGCUGGAAAAUCCCCUGCUGGAGGGACUUCAGAGG